rnacentral:rRNA from 1 species
UACGUAGGGGCAAGCGUUGUCCGGAAUCAUUGGGCGUAAAGAGCGUGUAGGCGGCCUGGUAAGUCCGCUGUGAAAGUCCAGGGCUCAACCCUGGAAUGCCGGUGGAAACUGUCAGGCUCGAGUCCGGAAGAGGCGAGUGGAAUUCCUGGUGUAGCGGUGAAAUGCGCAGAUAUCAGGAGGAACACCAAUGGCGAAGGCAGCUCGCUGGAACGGUACUGACGCUGAGGCGCGAAAGCGUGGGGAGCGAACAGG